CCAUGAACCUGAAAACUUUGUGGGUUGCAAGUGCUAGAACUAAGUCUAAGUUGUUGUGGGACAUGAGAUAGUGAGACAAGAGCUGCUAUAAUAUUAUUCUAAGCAUACAUGAUUAUCAGAGAUUUAUUCUUAAAAUGAUCAAAACCUUAAUUGUUCCUCAAUGGUGAUGAAUUCCUACCACAGCUAUAUCUACUUUACAUGAUUGCAACCUUUCCACAUAAGCUAUUUGCUUUGUGUUGAGUGUCGUCAAGUCUUGUUGACCCCUGUUAAGAGACUUUUCAUGCUCCUAAGAUCAAGAUCACGUACACACCACAUAUAUAUAGCUGCUUCUACACUGGAAGUACGCAACCACAUGUAUUUCGCAUCCACUAAAUAGGUUGCUUCAUACUCUAAAUGUUAGAAUAUCUCUCUCUAAGCAUUAUUUGGUAAAUGAGACAUCAAAAGCCUAGGCAAAAUGAAAUAAAAAGAUGGACAUGUGCAAGUCCACAAAAAAAAAAUGAGCACAUAAAGCUCGAAGAAAAAGAAAAUGCUAGCCAUGUCUCAAUAUACAAGUAGAGAGAGUGUAGCAAAUAAAGGAGCAACC
rnacentral:lncRNA from 1 species